rnacentral:rRNA from 1 species
GACGAACGCUGGCGGCGUGCUUAACACAUGCAAGUCGAACGGUAAGGCCCUUCGGGGUACACGAGUGGCGAACGGGUGAGUAACACGUGGGUGAUCUGCCCUGCACCUCGGGAUAAGCCUGGGAAACUGGGUCUAAUACCGGAUAGGACCACUGCCUGCAUGGGUGGUGGUGGAAAGCUUUUGCGGUGUGGGAUGGGCCCGCGGCCUAUCAGCUUGUUGGUGGGGUGAUGGCCUACCAAGGCGACGACGGGUAGCCGGCCUGAGAGGGUGACCGGCCACACUGGGACUGAGAUACGGCCCAGACUCCGACGGGAGGCAGCAGUGGGGAAUAUUGCACAAUGGGCGCAAGCCUGAUGCAGCGACGCCGCGUGAGGGAUGACGGCCUUCGGGUUGUAAACCUCUUUCAGCACCGACGAAGCGAAAGUGACGGUACCUGCAGAAAAAGCACCGGCUAACUACGUGCCAGCAGCCGCAGUAA